GGGCCAGACUCCUACGGGAGGCAGCAGUGGGGAAUAUUGCACAAUGGGGGAAACCCUGAUGCAGCGACGCCGCGUGAGUGAAGAAGUAUUUCGGUAUGUAAAGCUCUAUCAGCAGGGAAGAAAAUGACGGUACCUGACUAAGAAGCCCCGGCUAACUACGUGCCAGCAGCCGCGGUAAUACGUAGGGGGCAAGCGUUAUCCGGAUUUACUGGGUGUAAAGGGGGCGCAGACGGCGAUGCAAGCCAGGAGUGAAAGCCCGGGGCCCAACCCCGGGACUGCUCUUGGAACUGCGUGGCUGGAGUGCAGGAGGGGCAGGCGGAAUUCCUGGUGUAGCGGUGAAAUGCGUAGAUAUCAGGAGGAACACCGGUGGCGAAGGCGGCUUACUGGACUGUAACUGACGUUGAGGCUCGAAAGCGUGGGGAGCAAACAGGAUUAGAUACCCCAGUA
rnacentral:rRNA from 1 species